rnacentral:rRNA from 1 species
GUAGGUGGCAAGCGUUGUCCGGAAUUAUUGGGCGUAAAGCGCGCGCAGGUGGUUCUUUAAGUCUGAUGUGAAAGCCCCCGGCUCAACCGGGGAGGGUCAUUGGAAACUGGGGAACUCGAGUGCAGGAGAGGAAAGUGGAAUUCCACGUGUAGCGGUGAAAUGCGUAGAUAUGUGGAGGAACACCAGUGGCGAAGGCGACUUUCUGGCCUGUAACUGACACUGAGGCGCGAAAGCGUGGGGAGCAAACAGGGAUUAGAUACCCUGGUAGUCCACGCCGUAAACGAUGAGUGCUAAGUGUUGGGGGGGGUUUCCGCCCCCUCAGUGCUGCAGCUAACGCAUUAAGCACUCCGCCUGGGAGUACGGUCGCAAGACUG